rnacentral:rRNA from 1 species
AUUGAACGCUGGCGGCAGGCCUAACACAUGCAAGUCGAACGAGCGGCGGACGGGUGAGUAAUGUCUGGGAAACUGCCUGAUGGAGGGGGAUAACUACUGGAAACGGUAGCUAAUACCGCAUACCAUCGGAUGUGCCCAGAUGGGAUUAGCUUGUAGGUAGGGUAACGGCUCACCUAGGCGACGAUCCCUAGCUGGUCUGAGAGGAUGAUCAGUCACACUGGGACUGAGACACGGCCCAGACUCCUACGGGAGGCAGCAGUGGGGAAUAUUGGACAAUGGGCGAAAGCCUGAUGCAGCCAUGCCGCGUGUGUGAAGAAGGUCUUCGGGUUGUAAAGUACUUUAAGUUGGGAGGCGUUACCGACAGAAGAAGCACCGGCUAACUCCGUGCCAACAGCCGCGGUAAUAC